rnacentral:rRNA from 1 species
CACGCAUGACACACUGCAUAUCAAUAAGCGGAGGAAAAGAAACUAACAAGGAUUCCCCUAGUAACGGCGAGUGAAGCGGGAAGAGCUCAAAUUUGAAAUCUUAAAGGGUUUCCCUUUACGAAUUGUAGUUUAAAGAAGUGUUUUCUGUUGGAGUUUCGGUAAAAGUUCUUUGGAAUAGGACAUCAUAGAGGGUGAGAAUCCCGUAUUUGACCGUUACUUUCCAGCUGUGUGAUACACUUUCAAAGAGUCGGACUGUUUGGGAAUGCAGUCCAAAAUGGGUGGUAAAUUUCAUCUAAAGCUAAAUAUUGGCGAGAGACCGAUGGCGAACAAGUACCGUGAGGGAAAGAUGAAAAGAACUUUGAAAAGAGAGUUAAACAGUACGUGAAAUUGUCAAAAGGGAAGCGUUUGACACCAGUGUUGUUUUCUCGAAAAUCAAUUAAAAAAAGUUGAUUUUGUGUUGUAUUGACCUUAACAGCUUUCUUCACUCUUUUCCUGCUUUAUUUUUAAUGCACUUUUCGUUUAACAAGUCAACAUCAGUUUCUUUUGUUGUAAAAAGGUCAUUGGAAGGUGGCUUUCUUUUCGGAGAAAGUGUUUAUAGCCUUGUACCUCUGCAAUCGGAGAGAUUGAGGUCUGCAGCGUAGAUCCUUCGGGGUUAGAUACAUUUGUGCUAAGUUAUAGCUUUUCAUAGACAACCUGUUGACUAUGUUUAGUCAUGUAGCUUACUCGUAAGUGCUAUUUUACCUACGCUUAGGAUGUUGAGCGCAUGUCUCUCUCU